GGUGAGUAAUGCCUAGGAAUCUGCCUGGUAGUGGGGGACAACGUUUCGAAAGGAACGCUAAUACCGCAUACGUCCUACGGGAGAAAGCAGGGGACCUUCGGGCCUUGCGCUAUCAGAUGAGCCUAGGUCGGAUUAGCUAGUUAGUGAGGUAAUGGCUCACCAAGGCGACGAUCCGUAACUGGUCUGAGAGGAUGAUCAGUCACACUGGAACUGAGACACGGUCCAG
rnacentral:rRNA from 1 species